CUGACCGUAAACAAUGCCAACUAGCGAUCCGCCGGCGGAUUUCAUCGCCCUGGUGGGGAGCUUCCCGGAAACGAAAGUCUUCCGGUUCCGGGGGAAGUAUGGUUGCAAAGCUGAAACUUAAAGGAAUUGACGGAAGGGCACCACCAGGAGUGGAGCCUGCGGCUUAAUUUGACUCAACACGGGGAAACUCACCCGGCCCGGACACCGUAAGGAUUGACAGAUUGAUAGCUUUUUCAUGAUUCGGUGGAUGGUGGUGCAUGGCCGUUCUUAGUUCGUGGAGCGAUUUGUCUGGUUUAUUCCGAUAACGAGCGAGACUCUGGCCUACUAAAUAGUUGGAGCAUUGCCGCUGUGCUCACACACUUCUUAGAGGGAUUGUCGGUGUUCAGCCGCACGAAAUUGAGCAAUAACAGGUCUGUGAUGCCCUUAGAUGUCCGGGGCUGCACGCGCGCUACACUGGCAAAAUCAGCGUGCUUGUCCUUGCCCCCGAGAGGGCGUGGUAAACCCGUGAAAAUUUGCCGGUGAUUGGGAUUCGGACCUUGCAAUUAAUUUGGUCCCGUGACCGAGGAAUUCCUUGUAGGGGCGAGUUUCCAUCAGCUCGCUCUG
rnacentral:rRNA from 1 species